UGUCCUGACUUGCAGGAAAACCUACUUUGAAUACAGUCCUUCAUGGCGAACACUUUGCUGUGUUUUAUCUCCUGGGGUUUUCCUUUUUCCAUGGCAAGAGAUAGCUGAGCGCAUGAUGAGAGAGGCACCUGAGAGAGGACAGGAAGGAGCUGUAUUUUUAAACAUGACAAGGACACAGGGUUUCCUCCAAACCGUACAGGCUGCUGACAAAGAGCGUAUUGUCCUGGUCUACAGGCCUGCUAGGCCACAGAGGGACGGCAUUGUGGCAUCAGGGCAAGGAGACGAAAGCAGAAACCACUUGAUUUAAGACAGCAUUCCGGAGAAAAAGAGAAAAAGCAGAAAAAAACACACCCUUUGCAAAGUAAGUGAUACAUCUCAGAAAAGACUGUCAGAAUGCCAAGCUAUGUAAUUAUAGGUGUUCCUACUUCAAAACCUAUGCUGCUAUUACAGUUACAUGGCAUAGAACGGGGUUGUUUUUCAAAGCAUUGUUAAAUAUGAAGGGCAAACUGAUAUUAUAAAUCCAUCCUUCUCUCACUCUCUCCCAGACACACACACAUACACACACCUUUAUCAGGAGUUUUCCUCUGUAACCAGAGUGCUUGACAGUGUUUCUCUGGUGAGGAGGCCGGACUUCAGACAGGUUCUGUCGUGAUCAUUAUCAUGGCUGAGAUUUAUUGCUUUUACAGCCUGGAAACAGUCAGGAAGAGAUAGUGUGUGAGACAGAACAAUAAACAGAUGACUAAAUGGCGAUUUCCACUUCCAAAUCAUAAUGGUAUAUGCUAUUUCUGAAAGUUUUUUAUUUCAUUAAUAUGACAGACAAGUCUGGGGAGCUUUCAGUGUUGAUUCAAUUAUAUCAGUAGAGAAAAUGAAGAGGAAUAUUAUGACGUGUUUUUAUUCACAUUCUAACAUUUACAAAUCUGCAUAAGACUUUAUGUACAUUCAGUAGUUGAUGAUGAGGAAGACUUGUGGUCAGUAUUGACUGUUCCUGGACUGGGAAGAUCCGAGCCGACCACUGAAUCUAACAGAGGCUCCGCAGCACAACCUGAGAGCCCUACCAUGCUGUCUCCCUCUGCUCACUCGGAUAAAGUCUGCCGCACAAAAUGGCGUCAUAUACAAAAUUGUAUCUAAUCCAGAAGAAAAGACACAGGACAAUGUACAGUAGAAAAUGAUCUACCUGAAAUGUAACUGACCUAUGUAAGUGAACAUUAGUCAUGAACAAAUAGCUGAUCUCUGAGGCCUUUCUGUCACAUUGUGUCUUCAGUGUCUGCCUACUAGAUUUAUUUGUAUUAUGAAAUAAAGACACAGAAGGGCUGAGCUGUAUGGUUAAUUCUGACAUAAUAAAGGCAGUUGGUCUUAAGGUAUUUGCAAUGAAUUAAGCAAUCUAUCAUAUGGAACAAAUAACCAAUUCUGGGAUACAGUAAAACAAGAACCACUUCUUGUCAACAUAAGACUUACAAACCAAGUAAGCAUUUUAGAUAUGAAAACAAUAAUAAUUUUGAUAAGGAUUGGUAACCAUAAACAACUGAAGUUGCCUGAUUGACCUUCAAAGUAAAUAAAUAUAUUGAUAUGGUAUGAUCAGGUUCAUAUUUAAGGUUGUUGAUCAGGGUCUAUAAUUUCAACACAAAAAUGUAACUUUUAUUUAAUUUUCAGACAAUUAGACAAAAAUAAAAAUUGUAUAAUGAAAUUAUGUAAUUUGCAGGUGAUUGGAUCAGUUCUUGUUUUGUUAAGAGCAUCUAAUUAAAUGUGAAAAUCACAGUAUAGUCUUUAUUACAAAUUAGACUUUGCUUUUUUUUUUUUUUU